UGGGGAAUAUUGGACAAUGGAGGCAACUCUGAUCCAGCAAUUCUGUGUGUGUGAAGAAGGUUUUAGGACUGUAAAACACUUUUAGUAGGGAAGAAAGAAAUGACGGGACCUACAGAAGAAGCGACGACUAAAUACGUGCCAGCAGCCGCGGUAAUACGUAUGUCGCGAGCGUUAUCCGGAAUUAUUGGGCUUAAAGGGCAUCUAGGCGGUAAGACAAGUUGAAGGUGAAAACCUGUGGCUCAACCAUAGGCUUGCCUACAAAACUGUUGAACUAGAGUACUGGAAAGGUGGGUGGAACUACACGAGUAGAGGUGAAAUUCGUAGAUAUGUGUAGGAAUGCCGAUGAUGAAGAUAACUCACUGGGCAGAAACUGACGCUGAAGUGCGAAAGCUAGGGGAGCAAACAGG
rnacentral:rRNA from 1 species